rnacentral:rRNA from 1 species
ACGGGAGGCAGCAGUGGGGAAUAUUGGGCAAUGGGCGCAAGCCUGACCCAGCGACGCCGCGUGAGGGAAGAAGGUCUUCGGAUUGUAAACCUCUGUAGACAGGGACGAAGGAAGUGACGGUACCUGUAAAGUAAGCCACGGCUAACUACGUGCCAGCAGCCGCGGUAAUACGUAGGUGGCGAGCGUUAUCCGGAUUUACUGGGUGUAAAGGGUGUGUAGGCGGGGAAUCAAGUCAGAUGUGAAAAUUACGGGCUCAACCCGUAACCUGCAUUUGAAACUGAUUUUCUUGAGUGUGGGAGAGGUAAAUGGAAUUCCCGGUGUAACGGUGAAAUGUAUAGAUAUCGGGAGGAGCACCAGUGGCGAAGGCGGUUUACUGGACCACAACUGACGCUGAGACACGAAAGCGUGGGGAGCAAACAGGAUUAGAUACCCUGGUA